rnacentral:rRNA from 1 species
ACUCAAAUGAAUAGACGGGGGCCCGCACAAGCAGUGGAGUAUGUGGUUUAAUUCGAAGCAACGCGAAGAACCUUACCAGGGCUUGACAUACCUCUGAUCGGUGUAGAGAUACACCUUCCUUCGGGCAGAGGAUACAGGUGGUGCAUGGUUGUCGUCAGCUCGUGUCGUGAGAUGUUGGGUUAAGUCCCGCAACGAGCGCAACCCUUAUUGUUAGUUGCCAUCAUUUAGUUGGGCACUCUAGCAAGACUGCCGGCGACAAGUCGGAGGAAGGUGGGGACGACGUCAAAUCAUCAUGCCCCUUAUGUCCUGGGCUACACACGUACUACAAUGGUCGUUAACAACAGGAAGCGAAACCGCGAGGUGGAGCAAAUCCCCAAAAGCGGCCUCAGUUCGGAUUGCAGGCUGAAACUCGCCUGUAUGAAGUCGGAAUUGCUAGUAAUCGCGAAUCAGCAUGUCGCGGUGAAUACGUUCCCGGGCCUUGUACACACCGCCCGU